rnacentral:rRNA from 1 species
AACGAACGCUGGCGGCAGGCCUAACACAUGCAAGUCGAGCGAGGACUUCGGUCCUAGCGGCGGACGGGUGAGUAACGCGUGGGAACGUGCCCUUUGCUACGGAAUAGCCCCGGGAAACUGGGAGUAAUACCGUAUGUGCCCUUCGGGGGAAAGAUUUAUCGGCAAAGGAUCGGCCCGCGUUGGAUUAGCUAGUUGGUGGGGUAAUGGCCUACCAAGGCGACGAUCCAUAGCUGGUCUGAGAGGAUGAUCAGCCACACUGGGACUGAGACACGGCCCAGACUCCUACGGGAGGCAGCAGUGGGGAAUAUUGGACAAUGGGCGCAAGCCUGAUCCAGCCAUGCCGCGUGAGUGAUGAAGGCCUUAGGGUUGUAAAGCUCUUUCAGUGGGGACGAUAAUGACGGUACCUGGGGAAAAAGCCCCGGCUAACUUCGUGCCAGCAGCCGCGGUAAAAC